UUGAGACUUGAUCAGAUAUUUUGUCUUGUCCCUUUCCUUUGCAUCUCCUGAUCCCAAAUUUGUCAUUGAUGUUCCCUACUCUCAGGAACCCCAUUGUUUAAGUCCUGCAGGUCGGGGCACAGUACCAUCAUGGAUAACCUACAGGACAGAACAGAUGGCUUCACAGAAAAUAGGUUUUGAUUGGAUGAGAAUUCGAAUUAUGACUGAUUCCUUGAGACAGUUAUUAAAUCAAACAUAUUAGA